rnacentral:lncRNA from 1 species
GUUGUCCGGACGUAAUAAAGUAUCCGACGAAAGCUAAUGUCGUCGCAUUCAAUCUGUCGUAACAUUCAAACAAGUAUUACUAUAUAAAACAGUAAUUUAACAGAAUCAUUUAACGUGAUUACUAAUCAACUGACCUUUUGUUUAUUUAAGUUCUAUAAACAUGUUACACUUCAAAGGAAGGUGUCAAAAGCGGUACUGCGUUUGAUGACAAAUAUCAUAGGCUUUUAGCAGUUAGAAUAAAAAAAUUGUGACAUUCUAGUUGCAGUUUUAAUAAACAAUUUCUUUGAUAAUCGAAGUUCAAAAACAUCCCUACAUCACUUUACCACGAAGAAGGUGGGAGCCCUACCCGCUAUUUGGGUAACCGGUUGGUUAUUUCAUCAUACCAAGAAAGCAG